rnacentral:rRNA from 1 species
GCAGUCGAGGGGUAGAGUUCUUCGGAACUUGAGACCGGCGCACGGGUGCGUAACGCGUAUGCAAUCUACCUUUUACAGAGGGAUAGCCCAGAGAAAUUUGGAUUAAUACCUCAUAGUAUUAUUGAAUGGCAUCAUUUAAUAAUUAAAGUCACAACGGUAAAAGAUGAGCAUGCGUCCCAUUAGCUAGUUGGUAAGGUAACGGCUUACCAAGGCAACGAUGGGUAGGGGUCCUGAGAGGGAGAUCCCCCACACUGGUACUGAGACACGGACCAGACUCCUACGGGAGGCAGCAGUGAGGAAUAUUGGUCAAUGGGCGCAAGCCUGAACCAGCCAUGCCGCGUGCAGGAUGACGGUCCUAUGGAUUGUAAACUGCUUUUGUACAGGAAGAAACAGUUCUACGUGUAGAACCUUGACGGUACUGUAAGAAUAAGGAUCGGCUAACUCCGUGCCAGCAGCCGCGGUAAUACGGAGGAUCCAAGCGUUAUCCGGAAUCAUUGGGUUUAAAGGGUCCGUAGGCGGUUUUGUAAGUCAGUGGUGAAAGCCCAUCGCUCAACGGUGGAACGGCCAUUGAUACUGCAAGACUUGAGUUAUUGGGAAGUAACUAGAAUAUGUAGUGUAGCGGUGAAAUGCUUAGAGAUUACAUGGAAUACCAAUUGCGAAGGCAGGUUACUACCAAUAUAUUGACGCUGAUGGACGAAAGCGUGGGGAGCGAA